CUGAUUACUUCAUCGCCCACAGCCGUGUUUGUGAGGCUGCGGUGGAUGCUGUUUACGCUGCUGUGACCCAUGCCCAUCUCUGGCAUCCCUAAUCCUGUCUAGUUUUCUGUGUUUUCCUAAGAACUGGCAGUGGUGAGAUGGUCCACUCUGCAACCGUCCUUCUGCUCCUUCCAGUCACUUCUCAAUGUCUGCUGCUGCCCCCUAAGAUUCUACACCAGGAGGAUCCAGAUCACGUGAGGGAGUGCUGCUGCCCAGAAGGGAAGUCUGGUCAAUAAAAAGAAAAGGAAAGAACACUCCAGGCAGAGGGGAUAACAUGUUAGAAUGUCUACAGAUGGUAAAGAACAAGGAUUUGAAAAAGGUCUGUGUAGCUGGAGAAGAGAGAAUGAACGUGAAAGAAAUAUACAGAGGUGGAUGUCUGGUCAGACUCUGUUCAGGACAUUUUGAGGUAUCUUAAAGUUUGGACCCUAAAAAGCAUCUGAAAAGUUUUAUUUAGGAAUGUGCCCUGGUCAUAUUUACAUUUAAGA